rnacentral:tRNA from 1 species
GGGGGCAUAGUGUAACGGAUAGCAUAGGAGGAUGCGGAUCUCCAGAUCCGGGUUCAAUUCCCGGUGCUCCCG